AACAGAUCCAAGAUGUUGUUUGAGCCAUGCAACUAGAAGAUCUCAUAGAACUAAGGUUAUCUGAUUUAGGGAAAAGGUUUUAUGUGGUGUCUAACAUACAGAUUCAGAUGAAAACUGUAGUUCAAACUCCAAGGCUUAAGAAGUAAGAAAGAUCAUGACAUUUGCAGCAGAGAUGCAAGCAUAUUUGAAAAACGACUGAGAAAAAUACCUUCCUUGUCCCCAGUUUUGACUACAAUCUCAUUCAUUGUAAAGUGUUAUAAAAAAGGAAAGAGAAAAAUGAGGAGUCCAUGAUGCUGUCAUUCUUUCCUGUCUUUUACAAGUACUUAGCAAAGGGAUUCAAUGUGUUCCUGGGGGGCUCAAACUAUUAUUGUUCAGAGAUAAUUAUCCAGAGAUAAUAACUCUUAUGAAAACCCAACAGACAAGCAUGACGUUUUUCAAGUGAACAAGUGGGAAGAUGAAGAAUUUGGAGGGCUUUUGACUACAAUCUCAUUCAUUGUAAAGUGUUAUAAAAAAGGAAAGAGAA